rnacentral:rRNA from 1 species
UACAGAGGAGCCAAGCGUUGUCCGGAUUGACUGGGCGUAAAGCGCACGCAGGCGGAUGCGCGCGUGGGGUGUGAAAUCUGGCCGCUUAACGGCCAGGCGCCAUCCCAUACGGCGCGUCUGGAGUGAUGCAGAGGUCGAUGGAAUUGCCGGUUUAGUGGUGAAAUGCGUAGAGAUCGGCAGGAACACCCAGGGGGAAACCAGUCGACUGGGCAUCUACUGACGCUGAGGUGCGAGAGCGUGGGGAGCGAACCGG